UACGUAGGGUGCGAGCGUUGUCCGGAAUUAUUGGGCGUAAAGAGCUCGUAGGCGGUGUGUCGCGUCGGCCGUGAAAACCUGCAGCUUAACUGUGGGCGUGCGGUCGAUACGGGCAUCACUGGAGUUCGGCAGGGGAGACUGGAAUUCCUGGUGUAGCGGUGAAAUGCGCAGAUAUCAGGAGGAACACCCGGUGGCGAAGGCGGGUCUCUGGGCCGAUACUGACGCUGGAGGAGCA
rnacentral:rRNA from 1 species